GGGUGAUUAGCUCAGCUGGUAGAGCAUCUCGUUUACACCGAGGAGGUCGGCGGUUCGAUCCCGUCAUCACCCACCA
rnacentral:tRNA from 2 species